UACAGAGGUCCCGAGCGUUGUUCGGAUUCACUGGGCGUAAAGGGUGCGUAGGUGGCAUGGUAAGUUUGAUGUGAAAGCUCAGGGCUCAACCCUGAAAUGGCAUUGAAUACUACUGUGCUGGAGGUUUGGAGGGGGGACUGGAAUUCUUGGUGUAGCAGUGAAAUGCGUAGAUAUCAAGAGGAACACCAGUGGCGAAGGCGAGUCCCUGGACAACACCUGACACUGAGGCACGAAAGCCGGGGGAGCAAACAGGAUUAGAAACCCGCGUAGUCC
rnacentral:rRNA from 1 species